rnacentral:tRNA from 1 species
GGGUUUGUAGCUCAGUGGUAGAGCACUUGCCUAGCAUGUAUUGGGCCCUGGGUUCAAUCCCCAGUACCA